rnacentral:misc_RNA from 1 species
GAUGAAGAACGUAGCGAAAUGCGAUAAGUAAUGUGAAUUGCAGAAUUCAGUGAAUCAUCGAAUCUUUGAACGCACAUUGCGCCCGCCAGUAUUCUGGCGGGCAUGCCUGUUCGAGCGUCAUUACAACCCUCAGGCCCCCGGGCCUGGCGUUGGGGAUCGGCGGAGCCCCCCGUGGGCACACGCCGUCCCCCAAAUGCAGUGGCGGUCCCGCCGCAGCUUCCAUCGCGUAGUAGCUAACACCUCGCGACUGGAGAGCGGCGCGGCCACGCCGUAAAACACCCAACUCUUCUGAAGUUGACCUCGAAUCAGGUAGGAAUACCCGCUGAACUUAAGCAUAUCAAUGAGGA